AUAAGUCUGUUCUGUAGACAGCGAUAUUUCAACCCUUGUUAUGAGUCUGGCUGGUCAGCAAGACGCUUGCUGAAUGGUGGCCAGUCAAACUCUUACACGAGGGCUGAGCUAUCUCUGUCCGAGGAACGGAUCCAUGUUUGAUUAUUUUUUCUCACUAAUAAAUAAAUAUGAUCAAGUAGAAAUAAACAUCAAUCUUUUUCGUCUGCGAAUAAACAAAAAAUUGUUUGGGUUGUAGCCUGUAGGGUUCAGGUAUAUAUACUUACAUAAACUGCUAGAGUUGUAAUUACAUAAACUGUUAGGGUUGUAGGGUUUCGGUGAGUAGGGUUUCGGGUUGUACUUACCGGGUACAUAAACUGUUAGGGUUGUAAGGUUUCGGGUUGUAGGGUUUUGGGUUGUUGGGUUUUGGGUUGUAGGGUUUCGGGUUGUACUUACAUAAACUGUAAGGAUUGUAAGGUUUCGGAUUAUAAGGUUUUGGGUUGUACUUACAUAAACUGUUAGGGUUGUAGGAUUUAGGGUUGUAGGGUUGUAGGGUUUCUGGUUGUGGGAUAUCGGGUUAUAGGGUUUCGGAUUGUUCUUACAUAAACUGUUAGGGUUGUAGGGUAUCAGGUUGUAGGGUUUCGGGUUGUAGGGUAUCAGGUUGUAGGGUUUCGGGUUGUCAGAUUCGGGUCGUAGGGCUUCGGGUUGUAGGGUUUCUGGUUGUACUUAUAUAAACUGUUAGGGUUGUAGGGUUUCGGGUUGUCGGAUUGGGGUUGUAGGGCUUUGGGUUGUAGGGUUUCAGGUUGUACUUAUAUAAACAGUUAGGGUUGUAGGGUUUCGGGUUGUACUUACAUAAACUGUUAGGGUUGUAGGGUUUCGGGUUGUACUUACAUAAACUGUUAGGGUUGUAGGGUUUCGGGUUGUAGGGUUUCGGGUUGUACUUACAUAAACUGUUAGGGUUGUAGGGUUUCGGGUUGUAGGGUUUCGGGUUGUACUUACAUAAACUGUUAGGGUUGUAGGGUUUCGGGUUGUAGGGUUUCGGGUUGUCGGAUUCGGAUUGUAGGGUUUUGGGUUGUAGGGUUUCAGGUUGUACUUACAUAAACUGUUAGGGUUGUAGGGUUUCGGGUUGUACUUACAUAAACUGUUAGGGUUGUAGGGUUUUGGGUUGUAGGUUUGUACUUACAUAAACUGUUAGGGUUUUGGGUUGUAGGGUUGUACUUACAUAAACUG